CACGUAGGCGGCCUGUUAAGUGUGGAGUGAAAUCCCACGGCUCACCCGUGGAACUGCUUCGCAUACUGGCAAGCUCGAGGACGGUAGGGGAGAGCGGAACUCUUGGUGGAGCGGUGAAAUGCGUAGAUAUCAAGAGGAACACCGAUGGCGAAGGCAGCUCUCUGGUCCGUUUCUGACGCUGAGGUGCGAAAGCUAGGGUAGCGAACG
rnacentral:rRNA from 1 species